GAUGAACGCUGGCGGCGUGCCUAAUACAUGCAAGUCGAGCGAACAGACGAGGAGCUUGCUCCUCUGACGUUAGCGGCGGACGGGUGAGUAACACGUGGAUAACCUACCUAUAAGACUGGGAUAACUUCGGGAAACCGGAGCUAAUACCGGAUAAUAUAUUGAACCGCAUGGUUCAAUAGUGAAAGACGGUUUUGCUGUCACUUAUAGAUGGAUCCGCGCCGCAUUAGCUAGUUGGUAAGGUAACGGCUUACCAAGGCAACGAUGCGUAGCCGACCUGGGAGGGUGAUCGGCCACACUGGAACUGAGACACGGUCCAGACUCCUACGGGAGGCAGCAGUAGGGAAUCUUCCGCAAUGGGCGAAAGCCUGACGGAGCAACGCCGCGUGAAUGAUGAAGGUCUUCGGAUCGUAAAACUCUGUUAUUAGGGAAGAACAAAUGUGUAAGUAACUAUGCACGUCUUGACGGUACCUAAUCAGAAAGCCACGGCUAACUACGUG
rnacentral:rRNA from 1 species